rnacentral:rRNA from 1 species
UACAGAGGUGGCAAGCGUUGUUCGGAAUUACUGGGCGUAAAGGGCGCGUAGGCGGUUGCCUAAGUCGGACGUGAAAUCCCCAAGCUUAACUUGGGAACUGCAUCUGAUACUGGGUGACUUGAGUUCGGGAGAGGAAUGUGGAAUUCCAGGUGUAGCGGUGAAAUGCGUAGAUAUCUGGAGGAACACCGGUGGCGGAGGCGGCAUUCUGGACCGAAACUGACGCUGAGGCGCGAAAGCCAGGGGAGCAAACGGG